ACGUUUCAAAUACUACGUUGCAAUCCGGAAUAUCAGUUCUCUUACGCAUUUAGAAUUCUGUUGUUUUACGCUUCGCGGAGCGGAAGUCAUUUUAUACUAACUGCAUGCAUUGCACAUACUCCACGUGGCCAUAACUGUGUCAGUAAAUCCUCGUCUGCUAUAAAGAGAUGUACCCUCGUUUCCACUGGGAAUGAAGUUUCUUCCGUAUCCCUUAAUACUCUAACUUAACCUAGCAUGAUACCGAAGAGCGUUAUAUUGAAUACUGUGGGAUAAUAUCGUAAUAUCUAUCUCACGUGCAAUAUUCACCAUGCAAUACAUAACCUCUAUUGUAAUUUCACGUAAGAUACUUGACAAGAUCGUAACUAGUAUUUAGUAUCUUCGUGUACUUGAACUAACUAAUAAUUCAUUGUACAAUAUAGUAUCCACAAUACCCCGUGCAGGAGUACGCUAGAUUUAUGAUGCAAUUGCAGCAGCCACAAAGACGUCGCUGAAAAAGUAUUCUUUUUAGGUUACAAAUAUUUCUUAGAUAAUAUUCGUUUCUUGAAUUUCUUUUUAAAUAGAAUUAAAAAUGUUUAUUUCACUAGCAAUGCUUAUCAGCUUCCGGAAAGGUAAGCUAUUUACAAGAAUGACGCGGACGCACUCGUGCAUCUCCAGACGUUCGGGGAAUCCCAUUAAGGAUGAGCGUACUACACUCUGCUUUUACAUUCCGCUUAUUGAGGAUGAAAGUUAUAUUCAUGAUAAAUAAAGUGCAGCGCCAUAGUGCUUCUCGUUAAACAAAUUAUAACUGGAGUGAAGUCAAGAUGGAAAAUGAUAUUAUCAGUAGCCAGUUAUGACUGUAAACAAAACGCGUGGAAUAUUAUUUAACGAAUAACAAGGACAGUAUAAAAAUGUCUAACCAUAAAAAUACCUAGUGUGGAACCAUUAACCAUGUUGCCAGACUCGUUUUCAUCGCCAUCUUGAAUUCCUUGAAUAAUACGAUCGGUCUACUGCUACGAGGUACAAUAGGUAGAAUAAAAUAUAAUUCCAUGAAGAGCGUCAGUGUUCAUAUGUAAUCUUUAUACGGAAAUACGUGACAUGCAGCGAUCAUCAAAAUGACUUAUCUAUCGAUGAUCUAACAUCGUCCCGUUUGCUUACACAUGAGGAACAUACAUAAUACUUCCAUAUAUGGAAUUACUCGCUACACAUAUGACACAUGACGUCAUCUAAUUCUCGAUCAUCCUCAGUACUGCUGAUGAGGGUGUAGACAUGAUUUUAAAAAAUCAUUAGUAAUUCUAUUGCUAUUUUUAAAAAUAAUGUAUCCUUUAAUCCUCUAUUCUCGCCACCCCCACACAUUUUCAUUAAUUCUUCCUCAGCCUUCAAAAUAUAUUGAUAAUUAUUCAAUCCAGCAUAAAAGAAAACAAUUCUUUUGUCAUUUUAAUUUAUACAUAAUACCC